CUCUCUCUCUCUCUCUCUCUCUCCUCCAACAUGCAAAAGUAUGUAACGCACGUCAUCUUGUAAGGUGCGCGCAAUGGCUUAUUCCUGCACCAGUAAUGCAUUGUAUCGUGUGUACUAAAAGCUUCCCUAAUUUGGUGCGGAGAAGCAGCGGGAAGUGAGUAACAGACCCUUACACGCACUUUAAGGUUUGCUCAGCACACACGAGUAACCUUCACUCCUUUCUUUAGUGAUUGGAGUAACGCAUCCUACACCUGGUCAAAUCAUGAUUAAAUAAAAUAAUUGAGAUUGAAAAUGGUUCUAUACGGCGAGAAAUUCGAUUACAGCAACGUGCAACACACUAAGGUACAAGAACGAGUGGCUCGGUGCCGGGCCGAAGCCGCCCGGUGGGGCCGGGAGCAGGCUCGGCGGUGGGCCGCCAAACGAAAAGCAGCACAGAGGCUUGCCCGUGCUGGAGCACCCUGCCCAGAGGGUUCCCAUGGCCAAAGCACCAUUGGCCAAAAUUCCUAUGCCUGAGAUUAAUGGCCAGUCUCCCACUGGCGAAUAUCAUCUAGGCGAAUAUUACACUGGAGAAUAUUACGAUGGAGAAUCGCUCGUCGUUCAGUUCAUCGUUGGCGAACUAUACGGUGAGGAACCCUCCGCUGUCCACUUUAUUGUGGGGCAGUUCGAAGAAGACGACUCCUUCGGACUGUUCCUGAUGAUGAAACAAACAGAACCCAUUGGCUGAGACAACUGACAUGACAUGACCUAUCCUGGUGAUAUUUCCCCUGGCCAAUCCUGACGAUUCCUUGGCCAAUCCUGAUGGCGACCGAAUCACGCAAGGUCAAAUCUCUCCUGGCAAAUCUUGACGACGACUGAAUCUCUAAUGGACAAUCCUGGCGACGGCCAAAUCUUUCCUGGCCAACCCUGAUGAUGACUGUACCUCUCCUGGCCAAUCCUAACGACGACCGAAUCUCUAAUGGACAACCCUGGCGACGGCCAAAUCUCCCCUGGCCAAUCCUGACGACGACUGAAUCUCUAAUGGACAACCCUGGCCACGGCCAAAUCUCCCCUGGCCAAUCCUGACGACGACUGAAUAUCUAAUGGACAACCCUGGCCACGGCCAAAUCUCCCCUGGCCAAUCCUGACGACGACUGAAUAUCUAAUGGACAACCCUGGCGACGGCCAAAUCUCCCAUGGCCAAUCCUGACGAUGACUGAAUCUCUAAUGGACAACCCUGGCAACGGCCAAAUCUCCCCUGGCCAAUCCUGACAAAGACUGAAUCUCUAAUGAACAACCCUGGCAACGGCCAAAUCUCCCCUGGCCAAUCCUGAAGACGACUGAAUCUCUAAUGGACAACCCUGGCCACGGCCAAAUCUCCCCUGGCCAAUCCUGACGACGACUGAAUAUCUAAUGGACAACCCUGGCAACGGCCAAAUCUCCCCUGGCCAAUCCUGUCAACUACUGAAUCUCUAAUGGACAACCCUGGUGACGGCCAAAUCUCCCCUGGCCAAUCCUGAUGAUGACUGAAUCUCUAAUGGACAACCCUGGCGAUGGCCAAAUCUCCCUUGGCCAAUCCUGACGGCGACUGAAUCUCUAAUAGACAACCCUGGCCACGGCCAAAUCUCCCCUGGCCAAUCCUGACGACGACCGAAUUUUUAAUGGACAACCCUGGCAAUGGCCAAAUCUCCCCUGGCCAAUCCUGACGACGACUGAAUCUCUAAUGGAUAAUCCUGGCGACGGCCAAAUCUCCCUUGGCCAAUCCUGACGACGACUGAACCUCUCCUGGCCAAUCCUGAUGACGACCGAAUCUCUAAUGGACAACCCUGGCGACGGCCAAAUCUCCCCUGGCUAAUCCUGACGAUGACUGAAUCUCUAAUAGACAAUCCUGGCGACGGCCAAAUCUCCCCUGGCCAAUCCUGAGAUGACUGAACCUUCCCUGGCCAAUCCUGACGACAACUGAAUCUCUAAUGAACAAUCUUGGCGACGGUGAAAUCUCCCUUGGCCAAUUCUGAUGAUGACUGAAUCUCUAAUGGACAACCCUGGUGAUGGCCAAAUCUCCCCUGGCCAAUCCUGAUGACGACUGAAUCUCUAAUGGACAACCCUGACGACGGCCAAAUCUCCCCUGGCCAAUCUUGACAACGACUGAACCUCUCCUGGCCAAUCCUGACGACGACCGAAUGUAAUAGGCACUACUUUGCAUGAAGAAAAGAAUAGAUGUAAGAGUAGAAUUAGAAGGAAAUUAGAGACGCGUUAGAGAAUCUAACGCUAGUAUUAGAAGAAUUGUGCAAGAGGUGAACAGGACGUUGAAUUGAUAACAGCCAAGCUUAACUAUAAACAGCCGGUUUGUUUUAUGCCCAUUCAGCUUGUUAAAGGCUUACCUCCCAUUGGGUGGAGAUUAAAACGUCAUUCAUUUUGCUUGAUAUUAUUGGCUAUGGAAAUCUAUGACGUAUGCCUCGACACCUCUCGGACAAUCCUCAAGUCACUUUUAGAGCAGUAGCAGCCAGUCACCAAGAUAGUACAGACGCACAACCCGUGUCGCUCUGACUUGAGUUACUCAAAGACUUAGACUCUGAUCAAGACGCAAGAGUCUUAAUAACUUUGCUUAUAACCUUUGUCGUGUGAUUGAGUAGUUAAGAAGUGCACUGUUGUUGAGCUGUAAAGACAAUUUAUAUUUUCUAAAUAAACUGCAAAACGCCAGACUAACUUUGAUAACCCACUUGCACAAGGAUGUUGUGAGUGAUGAUUAUCGAGAAAGAAAAUCGUCGUCUCCGAUACCAAGCUACGCCCACCGACACAUAGUCGCCACAGGGGCUAGAGACAGUGUACAUACAAAUACAUGACAACACAGUGGUGCCAAACAUACAGUGGUGGCACUACAGUGGUGGCAGCGGUGGGAUUCUGAAGCCUAAACAACCUCCGAAGAGUAAGAAGAGUUUACAAACAUUAGAAACAAACAGCAGCAACGGAAACAACAGCAAUAACGCUUCCCCAGCCAGCACAGUGAGUCAAGGUCAACCCCGCAAGUGUGCACAAGUCCCACACCGCGCCGCACCGCGCCACACCUCAUCACACUCCCGAGCCACUACUCACACGAUCAAACUCAAGAGUAACUCUCAAUUAAUACCACCAAACAACGAGACCAAUAUCUAAAUACUAAGAAGAGACUUAGAAGAGGAAACCGCAGCCAGAGACGAGAGCAGGAUCAGCGCCGCCCCAGCAGUCGCCGCACACAGCCAUCAGCCACAGCACACCGCCACCAGCAGCCGCCGCACACAGCCAUCAGCCACAGCACGCCGCCACCAGCAGCCGCCGCUCAAGAAGACAUUGCUACUCACUUGUCUAUACUUUGGUAACAGUAUUCAACCUGUCAUUCAUUAAUGUAAUUAUAUUCAUGUAAUAUUUUAUCUAAUACCCAGUGCACCAACAGUUUGUGUAUGCCUGAGGAAUGACUGAGCACGAAGAAACAUUGAGUAUAACUGCCUUAUUGUAGAGCAUUCCCAACAUUAUCACACGCACUAAUCAUCAUAGGACAAGGUAAAGAUGAAACAAGUGGCAUGCAUGUUCUCAGCUAUAGUAGUUCUAGCAACAGCCUGGGACCCUGUGAGGCCCGGAGCUUUAGUAAGGAAAAUCGGCGACAUGAUCAUUGUGAACCACUCAGUAAGAGUACUAUUGAAAUUUGACAAUAUAAAUGUUGUAAGAGAAAAUGUCAGACAUAUCAAUAACGGUUUACAGAUGGUAAAAGACAAAUUGAUAAUUAGUAAGAUAUCCAAUGUGAGAUUAGAGAAGAAAUUAGAUGCUAUACAGACGAAGGUCACCAAAAUAGAAAAUAACUUCCUACAUAGCAAAAGCAAAAGAGGAGUAGGUAUCGCAAUAGCGAUCGGAUCGUUAGUAGGUCUUGGAGUAACAAAUAUUGGUUUGUAUGCAGAACUUCGCUCAAAUGUAAAUAAUCUACAAAACUCAGUGUCUAGAAUCGAUGUCUUACAAGAAGAAACAGAAGAUAUACAACUUACCAUAGAUGAGAUGAUUAAUAACAUAGAAACUUUAAGCACAGAGAACUCUAAAUUGAAGGAAUCCCUGGAAAUUUUCAUGGUCUUGGAUCAGUUGCACAUUAAGAUAAAUGAACUAAAUGCUGAAAUGGAACAGUUAAUUCAAGACUUAGUUAUGGCUAAUGCUGGACAUGUUACAUACACAUUAUUUUCAAUAUCACAACUUCUAAACAUAACUCAACAAGCAAAAUAUGAGUGGAAUUUUCAACCUUUCUUUGAUUCAAAUAAUAUUGCUCUAUAUUAUCCCAUUCUUAAUUCAUUCAUAAAUGAUACUGGAGUACUCAUUGACAUUCCAUUUUCAUCAGAAUUGAAAUAUCACAUGUAUAAUCUGAUUCCUUUCCCAAUGAAAUUUAAUAGUUCCAUUAUAACAGUUGAUACUGAUAUAACAUCUCCAACAAAUUACAUCCUAUCCAUAAAUGGUUUGAAAGAAAGUGUUAUAGUAAAUGAUGAUCUAUUGCACUGUAAGAAAACUAACGUAGACCUGUACAUUUGCUCAGCUACUUAUUUUACUUUCAAUGAAGCAUUGAGUCACUCAUGUGCCGCAUCCUUGGUGAAAAAUAUAUCCAUUGUACGUAAUUGUCAUUUUAAGGAAGAAACUCCCAUAACACGUCAUGAAACUAUCCAGGAAUCUCACUACUUAUAUUUUCCAAACAAGACAACUGUAUCAGUCAUAUGCCCAGGAUUUCAACCUCAGAUAGCAUCAAUAGAAGGCUUAUAUCGUGUACCAGAUCAAUGUGAACUUCAUAGCCCCACACUCACAACUGUAGCAAAUAGGAAAAAGACUAUUGUACUUAAUAGAGAAAAUGUUUUACAGGACAUUACUAUGAAAUUCCCAGACAGAGCUCCUCCUUUGAAAAUCAGAAA